GACGAACGCUGGCGGCGUGCCUAAUACAUGCAAGUCGAACGCAGGGGGGACGGGAGAGUAACACGUGGGUAACCUCCCAUCAGCGGGGAUAACACUUGGAAACAGGUGCUAAACCUAUACGGAUGGAUGGACCCGCGGUGCAUGAGCUAGUUGGUGGGGUAACGGCUCACCAAGGCGACGAUGCAUAGUCGACCUGAGAGGGGGAUCGGCCACACUGGGACAGAACCACGGCCCAGAUUCCUACGUGAGGAAGCAUUGGUGAAUAUUGCACAAUGCGCGCAAGCCUGAUGCAGCCAUGCCGCGUGUAUGCAGCAGGCCUUAGGGUUGUAAAGUACUUUCAGCGGGGAGGCGUUACCCGCAGAAGAAGCACCGGCUAACUCCGUGCCAGCAGCCGCGGUAAUAC
rnacentral:rRNA from 1 species